rnacentral:rRNA from 1 species
UACGUAGGGGGCAAGCGUUGUCCGGAAUUAUUGGGCGUAAAGGGCUCGUAGGCGGUCCAUCGCGUCGGGAGUGAAAAGCUGGGGCUUAACCCCAGUCCUGCUUCCGAUACGGGUGGACUAGAGGUAGGUAGGGGAGAUCGGAAUUCCUGGUGUAGCGGUGAAAUGCGCAGAUAUCAGGAGGAACACCGGUGGCGAAGGCGGCAUUCUGGACCGAUAUUGACGCUGAGGAGCGAAAGCCAGGGGAGCAAACGGG